rnacentral:rRNA from 1 species
UACGGGGGGAGCAAGCGUUGUUCGGAUUUACUGGGCGUAAAGGGCGCGUAGGCGGCCACCGCAAGUCAAUUGUGAAAUCUCCGGGCUUAACUCGGAAAGGUCAACUGAUACUGCGGGGCUAGAGUGCGGAAGGGGCAACUGGAAUUCUCGGUGUAGCGGUGAAAUGCGUAGAUAUCGUUUGGAACGCCAAUGGUGAAAACAGGUAGCUGGGGGUGUGCUGACACUGAGACACGAAAGCCAGGGGAGCGAACGGG